rnacentral:rRNA from 1 species
AGCGCACGCUUUCUUCCUUCUUAACACAUGCAAGUCGAGCGGGCACUUUCGGGUGUCAGCGGCGGACGGGUGAGUAACGCGUGGGAACGUGCCCUCUGGUUCGGAAUAACUCAGGGAAACUUGAGCUAAUACCGGAUACGCCCUUUUGGGGAAAGGCUUGCUGCCGGAGGAUCGGCCCGCGUCUGAUUAGCUAGUUGGUGCGGUAACGGCUCACCAAGGCGACGAUCAGUAGCUGGUCUGAGAGGAUGAUCAGCCACACUGGGACUGAGACACGGCCCAGACUCCUACGGGAGGCAGCAGUGGGGAAUAUUGGACAAUGGGCGCAAGCCUGAUCCAGCCAUGCCGCGUGAGUGAUCAAGGCCUUAGGGUUGUAAAGCUCUUUUAUCCGGGACGAUAAUGACGGUACCGGAGGAAUAAGCCCCGGCUAACUUCGUG